UACGUAGGUGGCGAGCGUUAUCCGGAAUGAUUGGGCGUAAAGCGUCCGCAGGUGGCAGUUCAAGUCUGCUGUCAAAGACCGGGGCUUAACUUCGGAAAGGCAGUGGAAACUGAACAGCUAGAGUAUGGUAGGGGCAGAGGGAAUUCCUGGUGUAGCGGUGAAAUGCGUAGAGAUCAGGAAGAACAUCGGUGGCGAAGGCGCUCUGCUGGACCAUAACUGACACUCAGGGACGAAAGCUAGGGGAGCGAAUGGG
rnacentral:rRNA from 1 species